UUAAGGAAUACAUACGCUAUCUCUUUUAAACUUUCAAACAAGAACAAAAUUAAGGAGAGCAGAUAACGACACAUCCAUAUUAUGACAUUGCACAAAAUGACUACUUUUUAUCAUGUUGUAUCAAACCAAAAGCCACAAUCGAGUUCAUAUAAAACCUCCAUUCCACUGAUAGAUUUCACAGUCUCAUUUUUGUAAGCUCCAACAUAUACACGUAUUCUUUGACAAUGGCUUCAACGAAGUUUUGCAUUUUAAUGAUGUUUGUCUUGGUCCUUACGGCUGUAGCACAAGAAGAGGAUUCUGAAGAAAUUGCGGAAGAAGUUGUAAGAUUGGCGGAGGAACUCCCUGCUGCUAUAAAUCUACUAAAGAUGGCGGAUGCUGUAGCCGACGAGAAUUCAGAUUCUAAUGAAUCUGAAUAACCUAUUUUGUUAAAAUUCAUAUAAAGAUGUUCUAAUAAUAAUUUAUAUGUAUAAAAUUUUAAUGAGCACGCUUUACUUAUUUUAUGUAAUUUCUGUAAUUUAUAUUUCAAUUAAAUAAACUCGUAUUACAAAAAA